UUGGUUUUUUGUCCUUGCGAUAGUUUAAUGUUGCAUAUUAAGAAAAGUUCACAGCUAUUCUCAUUUCAGAUUUUCUGUGUAAUAGGAAAGAGAUGCCGAGGCCUGCCCUAAUUUGUUCUUCUUUGACUGCAGCUGCUUGGCUGCUGUUUGGUUCCCAUUUCCUCCUUCCUCCAAAACUGGGUGCUCACAGCUCAUAUUUAACCUGUGCGCUCCCCUACCAAGUCCAACUACUGAGUUAGAACUUCUGUUCUCCUCCAAACUCAUAUGUAUGUAUUAAUUUCAUUUAAAAAUCCACCAGUACUUUUUUUUUGGCCAUUAAUAUCCAGGGGCAUUCAUGUUCCUAGCUGGUUUAUAUUUGGAUGGUUUUUUCUCUGGAUUACUCCAAAUUUUUGCCUGUUGAAUUGAUGGUCACUUAAAAGACAGAGGAAUUACUGCCAUGUAGAAUUUGGAAGGAAAUAGAAAGGCAAACGAGAAAAAAGAAUUAGCACUAUUCUGCACGGAGAUCUGUGAUGAGAAAAGAGAACCAAACCAAACUCCAAGAUGUUUGUGUAGCUAGUUUGUUAGUUACUUUGAUAUGCUGAUGUCAUAUCAUCACUAUACUGGCAAUUGGAAAAAAUUUAAAUAGGUGCUUGAAUGAUUCUCACUAUAACUUUAUUUUGAUUCCAUCCUUUGUCCACGUUAAUGCACUUUCUCCCAAAUCCUUUGAAGAUUCCGUGGAAUUUCUCAAAUACACAGUGAGGCAUCAGGAAGCCAACAAAGUUUUGUUUUGUUUUGUUUGAGAUGGAGUUUCACUCUUGUUGCCCAGGCGGGAGUGCAAUGGCACAAUCUCGGCUCACUGAAACCUCCGCCUCCUGGGUUCAAGCAAUUCUGCUGCCUCAGCCUCCCAAGUAGCUGAGAUUACAGGCAUGUGCCACCAACCCUGCUAAUUUUUUGUAUUUAAUAAAGACGGGGUUUCACCAUGUUGGUCAGGCUGGUCUCAAACUCCUGACCUCAGUUGAUCCACCCACCUUGGCCUCCUGAAGUCCUGGGAUUACAGGCACGAGCCAUCGCAACCAGCUGCCAAGCAAGUUUUUAAGAAUCCUCCAAUAACCCCCCAAACUCUCCCUUCUAUUUCAGAUAGUGGGACUCUGUGCUGAUGCCAGCAAUUAAAGAAGAAAGAAUAAGAAAGACACUGUGUGAUCUAGUAUUAAUAAGGAAGAUAAUGACAUGCGGUGGGAUCCUCUCUCACAAUGCUGAGAAGCCACAGAGUGCCACAUCUCCCAGCUGGCACACCAUCAUGAAUGUAGAAAACUGAGAUGCGACAGUGUUCCUUUUGCCAGGGCAUCCUAUAUUGUUAGAAAAUGAGAAGUUACACAGUUCAUGUAAGAGAAGACCAGAGUCAAAAACAGGUGAAUGGAUUACAAAACCAAAGCUGAUGCGAUUGGUGUCAUUUACAAAUAUUUGGGAAUCAACCAGUGUGGAAACAGUAUCAUUACUUUCUCGAGGAGCAAGGACUAGAAUCCAUAUGGAAUGAUUCCACAUGUCCACAGAUCUAUCAUGCCACGCUGCAGUCUAGUUUAAAUAAUCAGAAAACAGGAGUUACUCAGGCAUAGCUUUAAUGAAAGUAGCCAUUGCACAAGGUUUUAAAAAACUUGUAUACAUUUUUGUUUUGUUUGAGGCAGGGUCUUCUUCUGCUGCGCAGCCUGGAGUGUAGUGGUGCAAUCAUGGCUCACGACAGCAUUGACCUCCAAGGCUCAAGCAAUCCUCUCUGCUCAGCCUCCUGAGUAGCUAGAACUACAGGCACACUCCACCAUCCCCAGGCUAAUUUUUUUUCGUAGAGAUGGGGUUUCGCCAUGUUGCCCAAGUGGUCUUGAAUUCCUGGGCUCAAGCGACCUGCCUGGCUCUGCCUCCCAAAAUGCUAGGAUUACGGGCAUGAGCCACUGUGUCCUGUCAGUAUACGUGUGUUUUUUUGUUUUGUUUUGUUUUGUUUUGUUUUUGUGACGAAGUCUCACUCUGUCUCCCAGGCUGGAGUGCAGUGGCGCAAUCUCGGCUCACUGCAACCUCCACCUCCCAGGUUCAAGCGAUUCUCCUGCCUCAGCCUCCCGAGUAGCUGGGACUACAGAUUCAUGCCACCACACCAGGCUAAUUUUUGAAUUUUUAAAGUAGAGAUGGUGUUUCACUAUAUUGGCCGGCUGUUCUCAAACUCCUGACCUCAUGAUCCGCCUACCUUGGCCUCCCAAAGUGCUGGGAUUACUGGAGUGAGCCACGACACCCGGCCUCCAGUAUACAUGGUUUAGUGAUUACUAUUUACCUGUAAUAAAAAGCUCCAUGUAAAAAUAUAACAUAAUUUUUCCUCCAUUUUUUAGUUAUUCAGUUAUUCUUGAAUUUCGUGCUUUAAUGGAUAAAUCAUAAUACUCAGCGGACUGGGAAGAAUUCAAACCCCCAAAUCAUGUGGCUACAAGUUUUUAACUUGACAAUUGAGUUGACAAGCCCCACCUCAUCUACAGCACAAACACACAGCCACAGCGUGAAGUCAGUCAGCUGUUAGCUGCACCAGUGGUAGGAUUUCUAGUAGAUUCUGCCUUUCAAAGAUUCACUCUCAUUCUAAAGUGGUAUGCUACACAUAAAACCAUCAAUCUGGCCAGGCGCAGUGGCUCAUGCCUAUAAUCCCAGUACUUUGGGAGGCCGAGGUUGGCAGAUCACUUGAGCUCAGGAGUUCCGGACCAGCCUGGACAACAUAGCGAGACCCCAUCUCUACAAAAAAUAUAAAAAUUAGCUGGGUGUAGUGGCACACACCUGUGGUCCCAGCUACUUGGGGGGCUGAGGUAGGAGGAUCGCUUGAACCCAGGAGGCAGAGGUUGCAGUGAACCAAGAUCACACCACUGGACUCCAGCCUGGAUGAUAGAGGGGACUCUAUCAAAAAAAAACAAAAACAAAACAAAACCAACUUUAUGCCAGAACACGUCAUCUUAAGGAGAACAAAAAUGUUCUGUAUGCACAUACUGCCAACACAUUUUAAAAGGCCCACAUUUUAACAAGUAGAAUAGACAAACUAUCAGACAAGAGAUCAUAAAUUAUAAUGGCUGAAAAAAAUUGUUAAAAUUAUCUAACUCAACAUUCUGCAUGUAGGUUUCUACACAUAAUGUACAUGUAUGGGUGUGUCUACAUAGCUUUUUGAAGGGAAUGGCAUAUGAUGAAGCCCAUUUUUCCAUAGUUAUGAUGGUGUGCUAGCAAAGCAAGAAUAUCAAGGUCUGCAUGUCUGCCAACUCAAUGCAUAGCCCCAAGAGCUUCCUGCAGAGGAAAGCUAGCAUGGAGAAUCCAGUCCAUGUCUGUAGGACAAAACAUUAAUGGUAGAAGGCUGGAGAAACUUGUGGAUGGUUGGCAUUGCAGCUUCAGGGCUGGCAUUCUCUCUGGUUUCAGGUGUGUCUGUUAAUGGAUUCUGUGGUCUCUGACCCAAGUCUUUAACCAAUAUGAAACUGGAUGGCAAGGAGGUGGUCUGCUGAAAAGUCUGAUCGAAUAUAUUCUCCUCGCCUGCUAAAAGCUUGGGUGAAAUGUCUGCACUGAAGGUGCAGUAUAGCUGAUUAGAUGUUUCCUCUGGGAUUAAGGCAACAGAGCUGCUCUGUUUUGUUAAUUCCCUUGACUUGGAGCUAUGUAGCCCACCAUCUGACCUGCCGUCACUUGGAGCCCUGAAGGUAACGUUUUCUACAACUCCUAUGCUAGCAUCAAGUAAGGUAUUUGUUAACUUUAAAAAAAUAUAUGAAUUUUUUUAAAUUAAAAUACUGCAUUGGUGUGGUACUUGGGUUACAGCUGAUGAACCACUAUUGAUAUUAUUAAAUAACAUUCAUAGGCUAUAUUAGGAUUCACUGUUUGUAUUAGACAGUUCUUUGUGUUUUGCCAAUGCAUAAUGUCACAUAUCCACCAUUACCAUAUCACACAGAAUGGUUUUUUGUUUGUUUUGAAAGGGAAUCUCACUCUGUCACCAGGCUGGAGUGCAGUGGCGCAAUCUCGGCUCACUGCAACCUCUGCUUCCCAGGUUCAAGCGGUUCUCCUGCCUCAGCCUCCCGAGUAGCUGGGACUACAGGCGUGCACCACAACGCCCAGCUAAUUUUUGUAUUUUUAGUAGAGACAAGGUUUCACUACAUUGGCCAGGAUGGUCUCUAUCUCUUGACCUCUUGAUCUGCCCGCCUUGGCCUCCCAAAGUGCUGAGAUUACGGGCAUGAGCCACUGUGCCUGGCCUAGUUUUAUUGCCCUACAAAUCCCUGGUGUUUAACCUAUUCUUCUCUUCCCCCCACACUUGACCAAUGGCAACCACUGAUAUUUUUACAUUCUCUAGAGUUUUGCCUUUCCAUAUGUCAAUUAGCUGGAAUCACACAGCAUUUAGCCUUUUUCAGACUGGCUUCUUUUACUUACUAAUAUGCAUUAAGGGUUCCACUGUGUCUUUUUGUGACUUGAAAAAUCAUUUCAUUUUAAUCACUAAAUAAUAUUCCAUUGUAAGGAUAUACCACAAUUUGUUUAUCCAUUCACCUAUUGAAGGACAUCUUGGUUGCUUCUAGUUUUUGGCAAUUAGGAACAAAGUGGUUACAGACAUUUGUGUGCAGGUUUCUGUGUGGGGCUGCCUGUUCAUUUUUUAGUCUUCACCGAUACAGGUACACAAGGAGAGCAGGCCUGGGAACACUGUCCAUUCUGGGCUGCCAUAAGAUACCCUGUGGGCUGCAUGUUUCUGAAAGCUCCUUAAUACCUGUUUGGCUCUCAGCUACCAUUUCUGAUUGUCAGGUAACUUCUGCAGAUGUAUUUUCUUAAGCUUGGUUACUACUAAUGACUGAAAUGUAUCUAUUUCCCUCAAGGCUGCCACUAAAAAUGAGCAGAUUUCCUCUGUUGACUCCUUAGGUGCCAAAACUGGCUCAGAUAAUUAAACAGGGGGAGCAAUUCCCAUAUAGUAAAUGCAGCAACUCCUUAUUUGUCCCAGACGCAUGGACAUUACUUUCCAGGACUGUAAAGCUCCAGUGGAAAUUGUAUUACUUAAAACUUCCAAUGAAGAGUUGCAUUUUGAUGUCUCCACUUCCAUAAAGGGAUUGUAUAAAUUGAGAUCAGCUGCACGUAUGCUCUUGACACUGGCAUUCAGAUAUCUACUUCCACAGCCAAAGGAAGAAUACCAGUACCUGGAAGCUUCCUAUUCUGCUGUAGCCUGUCUCCUUUCAUCUCAGCUUCCAAAUCAACAGAUACAGAUUAAGUAUCCCUUUUCUGAAAUCUUUGGGACCAGGCCAGGCGUGGUGGCUCACGUUUGUAAUCCCAGCACUUGGGGAAGCUGAGGUGGGAGGAUUGCUUGAGCCUAGGAGUUCAAGACCAGCCUGGGCAAAGUAGGCUUUUUGUGAGACCUAGUAUAUGCAAAAAAUAAACAAAAUUAGCUAGGGGUAGUGGCAUGAACCUGUGGUCCUGGCUACUUGGGAGGCUGAGGCAGGAGGAUCAUUUGAGCCCAGGAGGUUGAGGUUCCAAUGAGCCAUGAUGAUGCCACUGCACUCCAGCCUGGGCAACAGAGCAAGACUCUGUCAAAAAAAAAAAAAAAAAAUGAAGGAAAAAGGAAAGGAGAGGAGAGGAGAGGAAAAUACAAAAUGCUUGGGACCAGAAGUGUUUCCAAUUCUGGCAUAUUUGCAUAGACAUAAACACAAUAUUCAUUUAUGAUUUAUAUACAGACAGCUGAAGGUAAUUUUAUACAAUCUUUUAAAAUAAUUGUAUGCAUGAAACAAAGUUUGGACUGCGUUUUGACCGCAAUCUGUCAUGUGAAGUCAGGUGUGGGAUUUUUCCACUUGUGGCAUAUCAUAUUAGUGCUCAAAAAUUUUUGGAUAUUGGAGCAUUUCAGAUUUUGGAUUUUCAGGUUAGGGAUGCUCAACCUGUAGUUGUUAGACCUGUUCCCUUUCACUCAGGAAGUUCACGGUCCCCUGUGUUACAAAGAUGUUCUUGGUCACAUGGAGAACUCUUUUUAUUAUUAUUAUUAUACUUUAAGUUCUAGGGUACAUGUGCAGAACACGCAGGUUUGUUACCUAGGUAUGCAUGUGCCAUGGUGGUUUGCUGUACCCAUCAACUUGUCAUUUACAUUUGAUAUUUCUCCUAAUGCUAUCCCUCCCCCAGCCCCUGAACCCUGACAAGCCCCAGUGUGUGAUGUUCCCCGCCCUGUGUCCAAGUGUUCUCAUUGUUCAAUUCCCACCUAUGAAUGAGAACAUGUGGUGUUUGGUUUUCUGUCCUUGUGAAAGUUUGCUGAGAAUGAUGGUUUCCAGCUUCAUCCAUGUCCCCACAAAGGGCAAGAACUCAUCAUUUUUUAUGGCUGCACAGUAUUCCAUGGCAUAUAGGUCACAUGGAGAAUUCUUUUGUUCAAUCACAUGCUGGUUCUUUGUGCUACUGAAGGCCAUCAUUUUGUUCAGAUUCUGACAUUCUAGAUGCUAGCCUUGUUCAUUUAGAGACAUACAUUUGUGGUAAAUGCAUCAUGGUAGUUGUGACAGAGAAACUAGCUUCCUUUCUUGUAUGGAGAUGAAAUUCAAGAUCUCGGGUGCUUUUUUCAGCAGGGAGUUUGUUUGAAUUACCUGCUUCUUCUGAUGAAUCCUACAAAGGCAUAGCUGGGCACCAAUCUGUUGCAGUACUAUGCUGGAGAAACAGGAUCGGAAAUAUCUUACAGAAGAAAAGAAUGCUUUUCUUUUCCUUCCAUUUUUAAUUUCUUCAUUUAAAAACCAAUACUUAGGUAUAUACCUAAAAGAACUGAAAGCAGGGACUCUAAGAGAUAUCUGUACACUCAUGUUCACAGCAGCAUUAUGCAUAAUAGGCAAAAGGUGGAAGCAAGCCAUGUAUCCGAACUGCAGCUGAAUGGAUAAGCAUAAUGUGGCAUAAACAGACAAUGGGUUAUUAUUCAGCCUUAAAAAGAAAGGAGAUUCUGAUAUACACUGUAACAUGGAUGAACCUUGAAAAUAUUAUACUACGUGGAAUAAAUUAAUCACAAGAGGACAAAUACUAUAUAGGGAUUCCACUUAUAUAGUAUAUUAGUCGGUUUUCACUCUGCUGAUAAAGACAUAAAAAGAGGUUUAAUGGACUCACAGUUCCACGUGGCUGGGGAGGCCUCACAAUCAUGGCAGAAAGUAAAAGUCAUGUCUUACAGGGGCGGCAGGCAAGAGAGAAGCUGGGGCAGGGAAACUCCCCCUUAUAAAACCAUCAGAUCUUGUGAGACUUAUUUACUGUCACAACAGCAGGGAAAACACCCACCCCCAUGAUUCAGUUACCUCCUACUGGGACCCUCCCAUGAUGUGCUGAGAAUUGUGGGAGCAGCAAUUUCGGUGGGUGCCAAGCCAAACCAUGUCAUAUAGGUUCCUAGAAUAAUCAAACUUACACAGGCAGGGUGAUUGCCAGGUACUGUGAGGAGGAGGGAUGGGGAGUUAUGGUAUAACGCAUAUGGAGUUUCACUUUGAGAAGAUAAAAACAUUCUGGAGAUGGAUGGCAGCGAUGGUUGCAAAACAAUGUGAAAAUAAAUGUCAUUAAACUGUACACUCAAAAAAACAGUUAAAAUAGUAUAUUUCAUUCUAUGUAUACUUUAUUACAAUUUUUUAAAACCAAUGUUGCAGUUAAUGCUAUCAAGCUAUAAUACUAUCACCUUAAUCUUGAGUGACCGUUAAGUCCUGGUCACCCCUAGGUUUGCUGAGGCAGUCUCCAUUUAUGCUUCUGUAUUCAGGGCAAUCACUAAUCAUUCCCUCUUCACUCUCAACAGUGUCCUGGCUUGAACAAUAAGUCAUCUGAUCACCCUGGAUCUAUUUCAUAAUUGUAUAAGUCACUGAAUUGCCAUCUUUGUAUGCAAAUGUCUUAACAUUGA